rnacentral:rRNA from 1 species
AGUGAACGCUGGCGGCGUGCUUAACACAUGCAAGUCGAACGAGAACGGGUUAUAGCUUGCUAUAAUUGUCAGCUAAGUGGCGCACGGGUGAGUAAUGUAUAGGUAAUAUGCCUCUUACUAAGGGAUAACAAAUGGAAACGUUUGCUAAUACCUUAUACUCCUUAUUAACAGAAGUUAAUAAGGGAAAGAUUUAUUGGUAAGAGAUUAGCCUGUAUUGUAUCAGAUAGUUGGUGGGGUAAUGGCCUACCAAGACUAUGACACACAACUGGUUUUCGAGGAUUAUAGGUAACUCUAAAACUGUCACACGGUCCAGACUGUAACGAUGCGCUGCAGUGGAGAGUAUUACAGAGUGAACCAAAGGCUUAUGCAUCAACACCGAGGUGAGGAUCACACAUUUCGGAGCAGAAACUCCUUGUUUGUGAGAAGAUAAUGACGAUAUUGCAUGAAGAAAGACCGGCUAACGCCGUACCAGCCGACGCCGUGA